UACGAAGGGGGCUAGCGUUGCUCGGAAUCACUGGGCGUAAAGCGCACGUAGGCGGAUUGUUAAGUCAGGGGUGAAAUCCUGGAGCUCAACUCCAGAACUGCCUUUGAUACUGACGGUCUUGAGUUCGGGAGAGGUGAGUGGAACUGCGAGUGUAGAGGUGAAAUUCGUAGAUAUUCGCAAGAACACCAGUGGCGAAGGCGGCUCACUGGCUCGGUACUGACGCUGAGGUGCGAAAGCGUGGGGAGCAAACAGG
rnacentral:rRNA from 1 species